rnacentral:ribozyme from 15 species
GAGGGAGGAAUAAAAAAGAAAAAAAAAAAGAAUUGAAGACC